rnacentral:rRNA from 1 species
AUUGAACGCUGGCGGCAGGCCUAACACAUGCAAGUCGAACGGUAACAGGAAGAAGCUUACUUCUUUGCUGACGAGUGGCGGACGGGUGAGUAAUGUCUGGGAAACUGCCUGAUGGAGGGGGAUAACUACUGGAAACGGUAGCUAAUACCGCAUAACGUCGCAAGACCGAAGAGGGGGACCUUCGGGCCUCUUGCCAUCGGAUUUGCCCAGAUGGGAUUAGCUUGUUGGUGGGGUAACGGCUCACCAAGGCGACGAUCCCUAGCUGGUCUGAGAGGAUGACCAGCCACACUGGAACUGAGACACGGUCCAGACUCCUACGGGAGGCAGCAGUGGGGAAUAUUGCACAAUGGGCGCAAGCCUGAUGCAGCCAUGCCGCGUGUAUGAAGAAGGCCUUCGGGUUGUAAAGUACUUUCAGCGGGGAGGAAGGGAGUAAAGUUAAUACCUUUGCUCAUUGACGUUACCCGCAGAAGAAGCACCGGCUAACUCCGUG